rnacentral:miRNA from 1 species
CCAACGGCAGAUAGUGCCUACAAUGUUUCCUUGUGUCGCCGUCAGUCAUUCAUGUUACUCCAUGAAUGUAGAAUCGUAGCUCAGUACGUGUAAAUAAUUUCAUAUUUUCCGCAAGACAAUUCUAUAAUACAAAUGUAUACAGGAGUGGGUCAAGCGACGGGCCCGCGCCGUGUCACCAGUGCGUAGGAGCACCGCUGCGUCAUCCACGUGCAUCUCAAAAACCUUUCCACAAAAACUCACGCUAACCGACUAGCGAGGCAAAAGGCGACGAAGCUUUUAAACUUUAGGAACUUUUUCCCGUCGUAUCGCAUUCGUCAAGUGACAAGUACCUACACAAAGUGUCUAAUUAGUAUUCAUCUGGGCGCGUGUAGACCUCUUCGCGGUGGGGACGGGUUAUUAGCCGGCGCCGCCUCCGCGCCCAGGCAUAUUGUUCCGAGUUCUGCCCACCGAGCGCCGUACGCUCGCCCGACCAACGAUAAUUCAUAUUGUCAAUAUUUGUACUGCAACAACGAACCGACGAUUUCACCAGAGGAAGCCGAGCCGGUGGCUGGGAAGGCAAGAAGUCGGCAUAGCUGUUUGAAAAUGAUAUACGGCUGUGUCACUUCGAGCCAGCUCAAUCCACCGGCUUUCUGCAUAAAGAAGAUUUGCGGACGCUGCCGUAACGUGAAAAUUCGGAUCGCUCCCGUAGCGGCGCGACUCCGGCCGGGAGAGGGCGCAUUGACAGCUGUCACUGGGCACUAUUUCGCUUUCUUCGCGGCCGGACGUGGGAGGAAAUCGUUUAUUUUUAUCACACACGACGAUGUUCCCGUAGAGUGCGACCGGCUGUGUACGUGCGUGACGAAACGAUCGAAAACAAGACGACAAAAUGCCGAACGAGGAGGUGUUGGGUCCGCGGAAGACGAUGUUCGUACUAGUGAUUGUUGUGGGAUGUUUCGCGGUGCUGUGGCCCAGGAUUCUGUCGCCGCUGAUCUUGGGCCACUCGCGGGACCAGCUCAAACCGAACGCGUUCGACCGGGAGGCAGGAUGCUGCGAAGUGAUGUUCGAGACAGAACUGGCGGUAUUGGAACUGAUCAACGAGGUAUGUAGUUCAGCAGUCCACGUGGACGGAAAGCUCUCUCCAUACGCCGCGGCGGAGUGUCGCAAAGCCGUCAACGAGACCUGCGGAGUAGAUAUAGCGGCAUUCCUCAAACGAAAUGAGAACAUCGGCAAGACCUCCAAGAAACUAGUCGAGACUAUGAAGAACAGCAACUCCUCGUGCCUUAAGGAGCAUUUUGGCGUGCCCGUCUGGAGUCUCGCUCCUCACCAGGCGUUCAACUCAUGGACCCUACAAGACACUGUAAAACAAGAGCGUCCUCUGAACCGCGGCGCAGGGCCGCAUCCAGCACUGCGAGAGCGGGGCCGCGCGAUUCCUCAGGGCGUGGCCCCCGCGAGACCCGCGACACCGAUGCCGCCCCACGUUCGGGUACGAUCCUCCCCGCUAUCAGUGUACUAUGAGCUGGACAUCAAGCCACCACCGAUCCCGGGCAUGCGGCCCCCGCUCGGCUCGCCCGGGGGUCCGGUGCCCACGCCCAAGUCGUCCAUGGGGUUCGUCAUGCCGAUCUACACGAUAUGCAUCAUAGUGUUCUUCGUGUACACACUUAGCAAGAUCCUGUUCAAGCGCACCGCGUCCCCCUACGAGCCUGUUAGUCCCGACCCCCACUUCAGGAGCAGGGUGUUCCGCGACGACUCCAGGACGUCGCCCGACAAGCUCGUUGUUACUGCAAUAUCGGGCCUGGUGGCAGAGGUACAGCAGCAGAUGGAGGCGAGCUACGCGCAAAACCAGCAGCGACAGGAGGCCCAGGAUGAGCAGGCUCGCCCGUACACGAACGGUACAAUACUUCACAACACCGGCCCGGUGCAUAUCGUCGCCAGCGAAUACCAGGAAGUAUCCAAGGAAAAGACUCCUGAACCUCAGAGGGAAGUGCCAGAACCUUCACCUGAAGUGAAGGAACCUGCCCCUGAACCUGAAAAGCCUCUGUCAAAAGAAUCUUUAGAGACGAAAGAGUCUGAGGAAUUAGAGGCUGAAAAACAAGAAGAAUUGGUUCAAGAAAUACCUGCAACACAAUCUGAAGAAGCAGAGACGGACGAUGUUAAAGAAGAGAAGGGUCCAGAAGAAAAUGACUUAAAACUCGUUGCUGACGAUGAAGUGGACGAAAAUGGUGGCGAAGCUAAAUUCGAUAAAGAAGAAUCGGGUUCAGAGCCAGAGUUAAUAGAAAUUAAUAAUAAAGAGGAUGAACUGAUUAAAUUAACAAACGAUGACGUAGAAAGCGAUGACUACGUCAAAGUGGUACAGGAUUUCUUGAACGAGGAAGCUAAAAUAGACGUGAAAGAAGAGAAACAAUCGACUCCGGAUCUCCUGGAAGUAGCUAUUAAAGAGGACUCGCCUGAUAAACCUGAGGAUGACCAAGAAAAUGCUAGUGUAAAGCACGAGGCGGAGGAAGUGAAGUCGAUAUUCCUGGAGACGGAGAUUCCGCAGAAGUCUCGGGUCCUCGUCGCGGACUUCGUCGAAGACAGGCCCGAAGACUCCGCGCCCAGUAACAAUUCCCCAAUGGUGGUGAGCGGUAAAAUGACUUUGUCACUCAUACAGGACGCACCGAGAGACACUCCUGAGAAGGAUCCAGAAUCAACAGUGGAUGAUUUCACAACAGCCAGUGCAAUCACUCAACCCGCCGCUGAUAAACAAGUUGAAGAAGAGUCCGACGAAGAAAUAGAGAUCGAAGAAGAAAUAGAAGUGGAAGAGAUCGAGGAAGAGGAAGAAGUUGAGGAGAUUGAGGAAGACGAAGAGAACGAACCGGUGGAGGCGAAGAAACCAGAAGCAAAGGAACCAGUCAAAGUGCAAGAAGUAAAGGAAGCUGUUAAAGUACAGGAAGAAGUAAAACAAGCAGAAGAAGAUUCCGAAGAGGAGGUAGAAGUAAAUGAAGAUGAGGAACCAAUACAAGAUUCGAAAUUUGAACCGGUUAAAGAACUAGAUGCCGAUAAAGAAGAAGAAUAUUCUGAGGAAGAAAUUGAGGAAAAUGAGGAACCAGUGAAAGAGUCAGUUAAGGUAAAGGAACCGGUGAAAUUAAAAGAGCCAGUUAAAGGAAAACCAUCUGUAGAACAUUCAGAAGAUGAUAAGGAACAGAAGAAAGCGAAAGGAGAUAAAGAAUGAACUGAUAGGAAUUAACUUGUAGUGAGAGAAUGUUUGGUGGUUCUGUAAAGAAAAAUAUUAAACAAGUAAAAUGGAUUCAAAUAAAAAUACCUACAUUAUUUGGCCCUUUAAAUGGAAUCCAAAGAAGGAAUUAGGAAGGCAUAAUUUUUGAGCACCACCGAAAAUUUUUCACGUUUGAAGAAAAAAUACAUCAGGCAAAAACAACAUUAGUAUAUUUCAUACGGAACCACUAAACAGUUAUUUUAUCUUUAAAUAUAAUUUUAAAAAUGUUUAUUUUUGCAAGUUAUAUUUUCGUAUGCUUUCGCUCGUCACGUUAUUUUUUUACAAUUAUAUUUUUACCUUCGAUUGUCGUUUAUUUAAGAUGUAUAUUUCGUGCAGAUGUCGCCGUUCGCUUGUAGUAUAAGAUUUUAAGUGUGUUUAUGGACGUGGCAGUUUCUGGGGCAUAAUUUAUCAAUAUAAAAAAAAGACACUAAAAUUUUAGGCCUUGACAAAUCUAGUCAUUUUAAAAUUACUAUACUAAAAAGAUUUACAAUUACUCAGGUUUGUCUAUAAUCUUCAAUGACAACAAAAAUUAGCAUUGUAUGUUCAUCGAUCGAAAAUAACCAAUCAAAAUAAGUAAUUAGUAUGCCAUCAUUUAAUUCCAAUUUUUUCUUACAGUGAUUUGAUAAUCUAUUAAUUUCGAUCGAGAGAAUGUAAGAUGAUGCCUCAGUAUGCCGUAAGAGUGUCCAUGAACAUGGAACUACGAAUUUAGCAUUGCUCUCAGUGUUCGAUAUUUUUGUGCCAAAUUUACUUCGAGCUUUUUAAUUUUGUCAUAGUUUUACAUUGACCCCACACAUUUUGUAUUACAUUGACACCCCAUUGGCAAGUUUCCGGUUUAAACUACGAUAUUUAAAGAACCGGAAUGAGGUAGCCAGAAAAAUUACUGGAUAUUAUGAGCUUCACAGUUAAUGCGUCAUGGUGAAGAACACAAUGCUUUACCAUGUACUUGUAAUUUAAAGUUUUGAAAGAUUGUUUUUCGAAAACGUUGCUCGUCUCAUACUGUUCAAUUACAUAUUUUUACUGCUUAAUAUAUAUAUUUCAAUGGGGUGAUAUAACUAACUAUGUAUCAAUGUAUCAUUUAUAGGUUAGCGGUGAUGGACACGGCAGAGAAAAAAUCGAUUAAAUAUUGAAACUAUGACUCAUGAUCAUUCGCAUAUGGUUUCUAGUUACGUAAGUGUAAUUUCAAGCGAAGCGAAUUUUUUUUAUGAUAAUUUUAACCUUAUAGGAGACAUAAUUAGAUGUGGUUUCCAUUAUCUUCGAUUAGUCUAAUUGCCGGCACUCCGUCAGCGCUGAACCUUUAAAUUCACAGUCGCUGCUGGUCAUGGUUGAUGACGUCAUUUGUUGUUUCUUAGGCUGUCUUGCCAAAAUAUUUGUGGAUUAGUAUAGACAAUUUUUUUACCCUUAGCAAAUCUAAUUUGUGGCAAAUCUUCCUUCCAAAUGUUUAGCCAAAUUUUUACAAUGUUUUCCUAUUAUACACUAAUGUAUGAAUUAUAGGUAAUAAUAUAAAUUAAUAUUGUAUGAUCGCUUGCAAAAAAUAUUGUAUUAUAAUUAACAUUUUUUUUUUGAUUCUGUUAUGUAAAAUUUGUUAGAAUAUAAGAACCAGUUAUGGACUUGCCGACGUAUAAUUAUCAAAAAAAAAAGGUUGGAUUGAUCCUACAAUUUUUUACAGCAAUUUUUCUUGCAAGCGAUUUUUUAUUAGUAUCAUGCCCCAACCUCUACAUGUGUUAAUGUAUUGGGUGUGUUAGAAUAGACGGUAAUUUUGCACUGGCGUGUAGUUUUUAUGCAUUUAAGUUUAUAUCUUUGUGAUUUGUUAAGAAAAACAUUAUUUAUUUUGUUAUAUUUUUUUGCGGAAUGAACCCUUUAUGUGCGGAAUUUUUCGUCAAUAUUUUAUCAUACCUCAUUGUAUGACGGUUAGGUCUAUGGGGUAACGUGAUACAUCGCAUAAUAAGGGUGAAAAUAUUUAUUUUUGAAUGUUAACUAAUUUAUAUUAUUGAUUGUAAAUUUUUGUUUACUGUGGAAAUGUUUUUAGACGUUUUAUAAUCGAGUGUAACUUAUUAAUACAUGGUAUUCAGCAUUCCUUGUCUUUCUGAAUGUGUAGUAGAUCCAGAUCAGAUUGUCUAUUUAAAUGUAAACAUACACAUUUCCGAUAUGUAUUGCUUGUUUUUAGUUGUAAUAAAAUAACAGU